AGUAACACGUGGGUAACCUGCCUUAUAGUGGGGGAUAGCCUUUCGAAAGGAAGAUUAAUACCGCAUAAGAUUGUAGUAUCGCAUGAUAUAGCAAUUAAAGGAGCAAUUCGCUAUAAGAUGGACCCGCGUCGCAUUAGCUAGUUGGUGAGGUAAUGGCUCACCAAGGCGACGACGCGUAGCCGACCUGAGAGGGUGAACGGCCACAUUGGGACUGAGACACGGCCCAGACUCCUACGGGAGGCAGCAUG
rnacentral:rRNA from 1 species